rnacentral:ribozyme from 1 species
AGAAGAUAAAGUGAGGAAAUUAGUCGCAAAACAUUAAAUCAAGUAAAAAUAGCUCCGACAGUAUAUGAAUCUUCCUUUUCUCUUUCAGUGUGUUGUGUGUUUCUUUUUUUUUCUUUCCUUU